rnacentral:rRNA from 1 species
UACGAAGGGGGCUAGCGUUGUUCGGAAUUACUGGGCGUAAAGCGCACGUAGGCGGUCAUUUAAGUCAGGUGUGAAAUCCCAGAGCUCAACUCUGGAACUGCCUUUGAUACUGGGUGUCUUGAGUAUGGAAGAGGUGAGUGGAAUUCCGAGUGUAGAGGUGAAAUUCGUAGAUAUUCGGAGGAACACCAGUGGCGAAGGCGGCUCACUGGUCCAUUACUGACGCUGAGGUGCGAAAGCGUGGGGAGCAAACAGG